rnacentral:rRNA from 1 species
UAUUACCUCAGUAACGGCGAGUGAAGCGGUAACAGCUCAAAUUUGAAAUCUGGGUCUUUCAGGCUCCGAGUUGUAAUUUGUAGAAGAUGCUUUGGGUGCGGUCCCGGUCUAAGUUCCUUGGAACAGGACGUCAUAGAGGGUGAGAAUCCCGUAUGUGAUCGGUGGCUUGCGCCCGUGUAAAGCUCUUUCGACGAGUCGGGUUGUUUGGGAAUGCAGCUCUAAAUGGGUGGUAAAUUUCAUCUAAAGCUAAAUAUUGGCCAGAGACCGAUAGCGCACAAGUAGAGUGAUCGAAAGAUGAAAAGCACUUUGGAAAGAGAGUUAAACAGUACGUGAAAUUGUUGAAAGGGAAGCGCUUGCAACCAGACUUGCGCGGGGUUGAUCAUCCGGGGUUCUCCCCGGUGCACUCGGCCUCGCUCAGGCCAGCAUCGGUUUCGGUGGUUGGAUAAAGGCCUUGGGAAUGUGACUUCUUUCGGGGAGUGUUAUAGCCCUCGGUGCAAUGCAGCCUACCGGGACCGAGGACCGCGCUUCGGCUAGGAUGCUGGCGUAAUGGUUGUAAGCGACCCGUCUUGAAACACGGACCAAGGAGUCUAACAUCUAUGCGAGUGUUUGGGCGUCAAACCCAUACGCGUAAUGAAAGUGAACGGAGGUGAGAACCCUUAAGGGUGCAUCAUCGACCGAUCCUGAUGUCUUCGGAUGGAUUUGAGUAAGAGCAUAGCUGUUGGGACCCGAAAGAUGGUGAACUAUGCCUGAAUAGGGUGAAGCCAGAGGAAACUCUGGUGGAGGCUCGCAGCGGUUCUGACGUGCAAAUCGAUCGUCAAAUUUGGGCAUAGGGCGAAA